GCGGCCGCUCCUUGAUCCUGGCGGAGGUCACUGCUAUCGAGGUUCGACUAAGCCAUGCGAGUCGAAUGUAGCAAUACAUGGCGUACUGCUCAGUAACACGUGGAUAACCUACCCUUGAGACGGGGAUAAACCCGGGAAACUGGGUAUAAUACCCGAUAGAUCUCGACUGCUGCAAUGCAUCGAGCUUGAAAGCUCCGGCGCUCAAGGAUGGAUCUGCGGCCUAUCAGGUAGUAGUGGGUGUAGCGUGCCUACUAGCCUACGACGGGUACGGGUUGUGAGAGCAAGAGCCCGGAGAUGGAUUCUGAGACACGAAUCCAGGCCCUACGGGGUGCAGCAGGCGCGAAAACCUUACAAUGCUGGCAACAGCGAUAAGGGGACCUCGAGUGCCAGGUUACAAAUCUAGCUGUCGUAAUGCCUAAAAAGCAUUUCAUAGCAAGGGCCGGGCAAGACCGGUGCCAGCCGCCGCGGUAACACCGGCGGCUCGAGUGGUAACCGUUAUUAUUGGGUCUAAAGGGUCUGUAGCCGGCCGGAUAAGUCUCUUGGGAAAUCUGGCAGCUUAACUGUCAGGCUUUCAGGAGAUACUGUCUGGCUCGAGGCCGGGAGAGGUGAGAGGUACUUCAGGGGUAGGGGUGAAAUCUUGUAAUCCUUGAAGGACCACCAGUGGCGAAGGCGUCUCACCAGAACGGACCUGACGGCAAGGGACGAAAGCUAGGGGCACGAACCGGAUUAGAUACCCGGGUAGUCCUAGCCGUAAACGAUACUCGCUAGGUGUCGGCCACGGUGCGACCGUUGUCGGUGCCGUAGGGAAGCCGUGAAGCGAGCCACCUGGGAAGUACGGCCGCAAGGCUGAAACUUAAAGGAAUAGGCGGGGGAGCACCACAACGGGUGGAGCUUGCGGUUUAAUUGGAUUCAACGCCGGAAAUCUUACCGGGACCGACAGCAAUAUGAAGGCCAGGCUGAAGACUUUGCCGGAUUAGCUGAGAGGUGGUGCAUGGCCGUCGUCAGUUCGUACUGUGAAGCAUCCUGUUAAGUMAGACAACGAGCGAKACRC
rnacentral:rRNA from 1 species